AUGAUAGCAGCUCUGCACAUUUCUUCACAAGCUACACAAGACAUCAAGACGGGUUUCAUGACACUAACCUCAGAAAGAGCUAUGGUAAUUGGGCAAAUUGUUGGUGUAGUUAUUGGCUCUAUUGUGAGCCCAUGUAUAUUUCUUGCCUUUCAAAAAAGUGAAAAGCCUGGAGUUACUAUCGGAUCUGCUCAAUCACAUUACCCAUGUCCUUUUGCUGGACUCUUUCGUGCCAUCGGUGUGAUUGGCAUUGGAGGAGUGAAGGAGCUCCCUAAGUAUUGCCUUACAAUGUGCUUUGCUGCAUUUUGCAUAACAAUUGUCACAGAUGUACUUUCAUUGGUAUCUUAG
rnacentral:rRNA from 1 species